UACGAAGGGGGCUAGCGUUGUUCGGAUUUACUGGGCGUAAAGCGCACGUAGGCGGUUUGUUAAGUCAGGGGUGAAAUCCCACAGCUCAACUGUGGAACUGCCUUUGAUACUGGCAAGCUAGAGUCCGGAAGAGGUAAGUGGAACUCCUAGUGUAGAGGUGGAAUUCGUAGAUAUUAGGAAGAACACCAGUGGCGAAGGCGAGUCCCUGGACAACUUCUGACGCUGAGGCAGCGAAAGCUAGGGGGAAGCGAAACAGGG
rnacentral:rRNA from 1 species